rnacentral:misc_RNA from 1 species
AAAAAAAAAAAACUAAUAUUAGCAAUAGCUAACUUUAAUUUGGUAUUAACACUCAAAUUCUUAUAUAAGCAACCUCUGAUUCUCUGAGUUGGAUGUAUUGGUUGUUGGGUUUCUUUCAAACAAAGUGAUGCCUCUAUUAUAACUGAAGUUCUGUCUUUUGAUUGCUAUCCUUUUCCAUACAUAAAUAUUGUGGCGAAAUGGUGGACUUAGACCCUUUGAAUAUAUGUGCGCGCGCAGGCGCGCGCGCGCGUGUGGAACUUAGCCCUGUGCUUGAACAUUU